rnacentral:rRNA from 1 species
UACGUAGGGUGCGAGCGUUGUCCGGAAUUAUUGGGCGUAAAGGGCUCGUAGGCGGUUUGUCGCGUCGGGAGUGAAAACGCCGUGCUUAACACGGCGCUUGCUUUCGAUACGGGCAGACUAGAGGUAUGCAGGGGAGAACGGAAUUCCUGGUGUAGCGGUGAAAUGCGCAGAUAUCAGGAGGAACACCGGUGGCGAAGGCGGGUCUCUGGACAGUUCCUGACGCUGAGGCACGAAGGUCAGGGGAGCAAACGGG